CCUCCCCCCACUCUCCCUCGACGGUUCCUCACCUCCCACCCUCGCCUCCGCCGCGAUCCGGCGUGCCUCCCUCGCUGCGCCCCCCCCCUCUCCUCCGCCCCGCUCCGACGUCUCCGCCGUGCCUCCCCACAGGCCCGUCCCCGUGUGCCCUCACCGCCGCCGGGCUCCCCGGCUCUUCACCGCACUCGCCGACACCUCAUUCUCCAACUCCAACGAUCGGCCCCUCCACGCCGUCAGCACCCGAUUCGGCGUCGCCUUCGGACCCGCACUCCACGGGACUCGCACCGCGCGGCCUCCGAACAAAGCACCAACGCCGCCGUCCUCGCUGCGCCGCGGUUUUGCCGCUCCCCGCCGGAACGCCUAAACCGUGAGCAGUCCCCUAAGCGGCCGCCCUUGGCCGGAUUCCGGCCAUCCCUGCUUAAGUUCAGAACCACCUGAGGGAUUUACUGGCUGAAGCAAAGUCAGACAUUAAUUGUUGUGAAAUGUGAAGGAUAUUCUAGAUUUCGAGACCAGUAGUUCUGAGCUCUUGACAAGGACUGGCCAAUCAGAUCAUAUCCAAAAAUUGGAGGAGCAGCUACUGUAAGUUUAGUGCAAUAAUAAGAACCUUGUCAUUCAAGCAAAGUCAUCAAAAUAAGAAGUUUUUUUCUCUGAUUUACUUUCUCUCGCCAACCAACAUAAGAAUGUUAAUGCUGGACAUAAUAAUGUUAAUGCUAGAACUGGUUAUGGAUGAUUACUUGCAAGAGUUAAGUGACAUUCUGAAUUAAAUGUAACUCUUGCUUUAAAAAUCAGUUAGCAACUUAGUAUCGCUUCCUCUCUGUAUUCUGAUCCUUUUUUUCUCUCUUAAGUGAUGCUAAAACUUGAUGAACUUUGAUUUGAGGUACCAUGAAAACCAUUUAUUGUCAUCCGCUUCACUUAGCAAGAUCUAUGGAUAUAUGGAUUUAUCUGUUAUAUAUGCUCUGGCAUUUAUUUCUUGCCCCUGGGAGUGUCCAAUAACAUGUACGCGGUGUCGCUUCUAUCUACUCUGUUUGGAAGUUGAUUUUGUGCUGAAUAAAAUAAUGGUAACAAAUGUUUAGUUCCAGUUCCACUAAUCCAGUUCAUGUGUACCUUGUUCUGCUUUUUAUGUAGUGUACAAUUGGUUGAAUAUUUAGUGGAAAAAUUUACCUGGAAAUGAAAGAUUGAUCCUUUUAAUGGUGAAAAUUUUAUCAAAGUUGUUGAUGUUCAGUGAACCGAAGUGAAGCCAAGGCAGCCGUAGCUCAGGGACGCCACUGCUGACUGCUGCUGGGGCCUGCCAAAACAUACUCCUACUUGGAAAUGGAAUACUAUGAAUCAUUUGUGGCAUACUCCAACCAAUAUAGAAGUAUUUAUGCAUCUAUUUGAUAUGAUAAUAUUGAUAUAUAGUUCUCAGCUGGUCCUACCGUAGUAAAGCUUGAUAUGAUAAGCCAUGACGCAUAGUUGCAAAACAAUUAUAGAUUUAGUAUAUUUUUUUAGCUCAUGUUUGGUCCUUA